AUUCAAAUAGCUUACAUAGAGUAUAAUAUUGAAGAUAUUAGGGAAAUAAAUUUUAUUUUUGAAUA
rnacentral:tRNA from 1 species